rnacentral:rRNA from 1 species
UGGAAACGGUAGCUAAUACCGCAUAACGUCGCAAGACCAAAGAGGGGGACCUUCGGGCCUCUUGCCAUCGGAUGUGCCCAGAUGGGAUUAGCUAGUAGGUGGGGUAACGGCUCACCUAGGCGACGAUCCCUAGCUGGUCUGAGAGGAUGACCAGCCACACUGGAACUGAGACACGGUCCAGACUCCUACGGGAGGCAGCAGUGGGGAAUAUUGCACAAUGGGCGCAAGCCUGAUGCAGCCAUGCCGCGUGUAUGAAGAAGGCCUUCGGGUUGUAAAGUACUUUCAGCGGGGAGGAAGGGAGUAAAGUUAAUACCUUUGCUCAUUGACGUUACCCGCAGAAGAAGCACCGGCUAACUCCGUGCCAGCAGCCGCGGUAAUACGGAGGGUGC